AUUUCUCUUCUAAUUGAUUGGACUUUCAUUAGGCUUUGGCGUCUUGCUUCUCUAAUGGCCCCUCAACAACAACUAUGAAAUAAGCCUCAAUUUUUGUUUGCUCAACUUCCUUGAACUCAACAAUAGAUGCCUCAACUUCCUAUGCAACAAGCUCCUCAACCAAGAGCUCUGUUAUAUGUGCAUCAACUACUUCUUCAAUAAAAUAGGGCUUUAAUGACUCCACAAGCUUAUCUCCAACAAGUCUUCCACUCUUAGAGCUUCUAUUCCUUCAACAAAUACAAUUCCCUCUACAAUAAUAAUCCUAUCAAGACUCAAUUUAU
rnacentral:lncRNA from 1 species